AUUGAACGCUGGCGGCAUGCUUUACACAUGCAAGUCGAACGGUAACAGGCCGCAAGGUGCUGACGAGUGGCGAACGGGUGAGUAAUGCAUCGGAACGUGCCCAGUCGUGGGGGAUAACGCAGCGAAAGCUGCGCUAAUACCGCAUACGAUCUCUGGAUGAAAGCGGGGGACCGAAAGGCCUCGCGCGAUUGGAGCGGCCGAUGUCAGAUUAGGUAGUUGGUGGGGUAAAGGCCCACCAAGCCAACGAUCUGUAGCUGGUCUGAGAGGACGACCAGCCACACUGGGACUGAGACACGGACCAGACUCCUACGGGAGGCAGCAGUGGGGAAUUUUGGACAAUGGGCGCAAGCCUGAUCCAGCAAUGCCGCGUGCAGGAAGAAGGCCUUCGGGUUGUAAACUGCUUUUGUACGGAACGAAACGGUCCGGGUUAAUACCCUGGGCUAAUGACGGUACCGUAAGAAUAAGCACCGGCUAACUACGUGCCAGCAGCCGCAGUAAAAC
rnacentral:rRNA from 1 species